GACCGCGUAGCUCAGUUGGCAGAGCAUUGCAUGGGCUAGUAUUCCAUAGGUCGUAGGUUCGAUUCAAACCGUGGCCG